GCGACCCCAGGAUGGGCGGGGCCACCCGUCG
rnacentral:rRNA from 1 species